GAAAGUUGGUGGCCCAACUGUUUUGUCCUGAAAUUCUCGCAUAACCGUGGAUGUGUUUUGUUUGUGUUAUGUCUGUAAUCUUCCGAGAUUAAAGCAGUAUUUAAGGCGAUCUAACAUCUUUGCGUUGUUAACUGGUUGGUUAUAAUAAUGGCUGCUACUCGUGACCGCCGCAACAAUGCUGGAACAAAGAUGGCUAAGUUGUUGGAGGAGGAGGAGGAAGAUGAUUUUUACAAAACGACAUAUGGUGGAUUUGAGGAAGAAGCAGAUGACAUUGACUACCAGUCAGAAGUUGAACAGGAUGAUGAAGUUGACUCAGACUUCAGUAUUGAUGAGAAUGAUGAGCCUGUCUCAGAUCAGGAAGACGAUGGUAAAGGAGAGAAGAAGAAACCUCGAGGAAGGCUAGUAACAAAAGCUUACAAGGAACCCAAACCUGUCCCAAAGGAUACUGUGCCAAAGGUUAAAGAGAAGAAGCUUCCAAAAAAGAGCAGCCCUUUCGACCCUGUAACUUUAGAGAAAAAAGGUAUUAGAAAGUCAACACAGUUGAAGUCGGCGGAAACUGUGAAGCGACAGAGGGAGAGAGCAGAUCUUGAAAGGAGGAGGGCAAUGAAGAAAAGAGACAAGGUGCCUUUGUAUCCAAGACUGACCCAAGAGGAAUUGUUGGAAGAAGCCAAGAUAACAGAAGAGAUUAAUCUUAAGUCUUUAGAGAAAUAUGAGCUAGCUGAAUUGGAUCGUAAGAAACCCAAAGUUGUACGACGAGGUUUCACAACAGCAUUCAUUCGAUAUCAAUCAACUGCAAUGCCUCUUAUUCAGGAAAUUAAAUCAGAAGAGAUGGAAACCGAAGAACCCAGUGUUGAUGUGGAUACACAGGAGCAUUUGGUAGACUCAAUAGAUGUUUUGAAAGCUUCCAACAUUAACAGUGAAAAUCAGCUGGUACGUAAAACUCCCAGCAAACCGGUGGAAAAAUGUGAAAGGUCUUUCAUUACAUUUUCUAAUGAGGGGACAUAUAAGAGGGUUUUUCGUAAAAUCAAACCCAAAUUAGUACAAAAGAAUGUCUGCCCCAUCACAAGGUUGCCAGCGAGGUACUUUGAUCCUGUAACACAGUUACCGUAUGCCACACUACAGGCUUUUCGUGUGUUACGUGAGGCAUAUUACCAACAACUCGAGGAUAAAGGUGAUCGGAAUAAUAAGGAUGUAGCUAAAUGGUUAGCAUGGCGACGAGAAUAUAAGAAGGCACGUGCAUCAGCCCAAAACAUUAAACCUACUGUAACACCAGUGCAACCUGCAACAAAUUCAGCUACCCCAGUUUCAGUAGCACGACCAGUAACUCAGGCUGCUCCUAUACCAGUAUCAUCGGCAUAUACAUCAGCCAUCACUUUAGCUACCACUCCCACCUCAACUGUCACCUCUGUUGCUGCUGUGGCACAAAUACUUCGAUCUGCUGUGUCAGCAACUAGUGCUAUGCCAACGACUAUUCCAACUACUUCAAUAGCAACUGUGCCAACCUCUCUUCAUAUACCUCGACCUGCAGUAACAGCUGUUACUAACGCACAGACAGGUGGAGGAUUUACUAAUCUUCAAGGGCAGACAGUUCAGUUGGUGCAGACAGUUGGACGUAACAUGGGAACUGCAGUGCGUCCAAGCCAUCAAAUGGUGGUUGUAACUAGCGCAGGUCCAGCAGGUGGUCUCCAGCUUGGUGGAGCCAAUCUUUUGGUUCAGGGAGGAACAGGAGGUACUACAAAUCUGCUGGUCCAAGGCAGUGCUUCCGGUACUGUUGGUAAUCUUCAAAUUGUCCAGGCUGGUGGAGGAAGUGGUGUGCAGGCUAAGCAAGAAGAGCUUUGAUGGUUCAUCCAGUGAAAUAUGUGUAGGCUGCUACAAGUUAGUGCCCAAACUGCAUCCACGUAUCAAGUUGAAGGGUCAGAGUUUAAUUUGGGUUACUAAAUGUGCCAAGUUCUGCCAGCUUGAUAAAGGUGGUUCAAGCUAGUCAAGUGGUUCAAGGUGGUCGGUUCACCAUUCGUCCAGUGGCUAACCAGACAUUCACAAAUUUACAGUCCCUUCUUAAAUGAGUGCACCAUCCUUCUUCAUAGCACCAGAGGUUCUAGUUUAAGUUGACACAUUAAUUUUGUUUAGGUCUUUAGUAUGGUAUAUUGCCUAUAUAAUCUUUAAAAUAAAGCAUUGUUAUUUCCAGUUGCAUUCCUUUGUUAAACUAUAUAGCAAGUAGUAUGACUGAAAGAAACCAAAUCCUUUCUGUUCCAAAAGCCAUUGAUGCUAACUUAUUGACAUAACUUGCGUAACAUUUCAGGAUCUUUGUGCCAGGUGUUUUUAAGUUGAUGGAAAGUGUUUUUUUAAAAUUUUUGUACAAUGGUAAAGAUUUCACCAACCUUUCUUUAGGUUACACUCAGUUUUUGGUUGUAGCCUCAGUUUUUGAAAUGUAUAGAUUUUUGGAAUUAUUUACUUUAAUUUCUUGAAUGUUUUUCACUUUGGGUAAUCUCAGUCAUGGGUUACAUUUUAAACCUGUGGAGUAUACAGUGUUUAGAAGCCACUUUUGCUAAAACUAGUUUGUGAAACUUAUUUUAUAUUUUAUUUUGAUAAUUUAUAUCAGUUGGAUUUAAAUAUAUGUAUAUACAGAAUAUUUCAUAAACUCUAUGUAUGUUAUUCCUAAUAAAAAAAUUUUCAUUA